rnacentral:rRNA from 1 species
AGUGAACGUUGGCGGCGUGGAUUAGGCAUGCAAGUCGAGCGAGAACCGUAGCAAUACGGGGACAGCGGCGAAAGGACAGUAAUGUGUAGGUACCUACCUCCGGGUUCGGGAUAGCUGCGGGAAACUGCAGGUAAUACCGAAUAACGUCUCCGGACCAAAGGUGUGAUUCCACCUGGAGAGGGGCCUGCAUCCUAUUAGCUUGUUGGCGGGGUAACGGCCCACCAAGGCGACGAUGGGUAGCGGGUGUGAGAGCACGACCCGCGUCAUUGGGACUGAGACACUGCCCAGACACCUACGGGUGGCUGCAGUCGUGAAUCUUCGGCAAUGGGCGCAAGCCUGACCGAGCGACGCCGCGUGCGGGAUGAAGGCCUUCGGGCUGUAAACCGCUGUCGUAGAGGAGGAAAUGCAGGGGGGUUCUCCCCUCUGUUUGACCUAUUCUAGGAGGAAGUACGGGCUAAGUUCGUGCCAGCCGCCGCUAAUA